GAUGAACGCUGGCGGCGUGCCUAAUACAUGCAAGUCGAGCGAACGGAUUAAGAGCUUGCUCUUAUGAAGUUAGCGGCGGACGGGUGAGUAACACGUGGGUAACCUGCCCAUAAGACUGGGAUAACUCCGGGAAACCGGGGCUAAUACCGGAUAACAUUUUGAACCGCAUGGUUCGAAAUUGAAAGGCGGCUUUGGCUGUCACUUAUGGAUGGACCCGCGUCGCAUUAGCUAGUUGGUGUGGUAACGGCUCACCAAGGCCACGAUGCGUAGCCGACCUGAGAGGGUGAUCGGCCACACGGGGACUGAGACACGGCCCAGACUCCUACGGGAGGCAGCAGUAGGGAAUCUUCCGCAAUGGACGAAAGUCUGACGGAGCAACGCCGCGUGAGUGAUGAAGGCUUUCGGGUCGUAAAACUCUGUUGUUAGGGAAGAACAAGUGCUAGUUGAAUAAGCUGGCACCUUGACGGUACCUAACCAGAAAGCCACGGCUAACUACGUGCCAGCCGCCGCCGUAA
rnacentral:rRNA from 1 species